AGUGGCGAACGGGUGAGUAACACGUGAGUAACCUGCCCUUGACUCUGGGAUAAGCCUGGGAAACCGGGUCUAAUACUGGAUAUGACCUUCUGGCGCAUGCCAUGUUGGUGGAAAGCUUUUGUGGUUUUGGAUGGACUCGCGGCCUAUCAGCUUGUUGGUGGGGUAAUGGCUUACCAAGGCGACGACGGGUAGCCGGCCUGAGAGGGUGACCGGCCACACUGGGACUGAGACACGGCCCAGACUCCUACGGGAGGCAGCAGUGGGGAAUAUUGCACAAUGGGCGCAAGCCUGAUGCAGCGACGCCGCGUGAGGGAUGAAGGCCUUCGGGUUGUAAACCUCUUUCAGUAGGGAAGAAGCUGGUCCUUUUGGGGGUUGGUGACGGUACCUGCAGAAGAAGCGCCGGCUAACUACGUGCCAGCAGCCGCGGUAAUACGUAGGGCGCAAGCGUUAUCCGGAAUUAUUGGGCGUAAAGAGCUCGUAGGCGGUUUGUCGCGUCUGCCGUGAAAGUCCGGGGCUUAACUCCGGAUCUGCGGUGGGUACGGGCAGACUAGAGUGCAGUAGGGGAGACUGGAAUUCCUGGUGUAGCGGUGAAAUGCGCAGAUAUCAGGAGGAACACCGAUGGCGAAGGCAGGUCUCUGGGCUGUAACUGACGCUGAGGAGCGAAAGCAUGGGGAGCGAACAGGAUUAGAUACCCUGGUAGUCCAUGCCGUAAACGUUGGGCACUAGGUGUGGGGGACAUUCCACGUUUUCCGCGCCGUAGCUAACGCAUUAAGUGCCCCGCCUGGGGAGUACGGCCGCAAGGCUAAAACUCAAAGGAAUUGACGGGGGCCCGCACAAGCGGCGGAGCAUGCGGAUUAAUUCGAUGCAACGCGAAGAACCUUACCAAGGCUUGACAUGAACCGGAAUGAUGCAGAGAUGUGUCAGCCACUUGUGGCCGGUUUACAGGUGGUGCAUGGUUGUCGUCAGCUCGUGUCGUGAGAUGUUGGGUUAAGUCCCGCAACGAGCGCAACCCUCGUUCCAUGUUGCCAGCGGGUUAUGCCGGGGACUCAUGGGAGACUGCCGGGGUCAACUCGGAGGAAGGUGGGGACGACGUCAAAUCAUCAUGCCCCUUAUGUCUUGGGCUUCACGCAUGCUACAAUGGCCGGUACAAAGGGUUGCGAUACUGUGAGGUGGAGCUAAUCCCAAAAAGCCGGUCUCAGUUCGGAUUGAGGUCUGCAACUCGACCUCAUGAAGUUGGAGUCGCUAGUAAUCGCAGAUCAG
rnacentral:rRNA from 1 species